rfam:Ktedonobacter sp. 13_2_20CM_2_56_8 13_2_20cm_2_scaffold_4456, whole genome shotgun sequence.
AAGAGGCAGUUCCUUGCCGGAGGAAACGGCCAUACCUCCGAGGCUGAGACUCCUGCAUGCGUCCGAUGCUGAUACAUCGGAGGUAUGAAGCCAGGUAAAGUCGUAAUCCAAGUAGCCUACGUCCUCGCAAGAGGAUAAGGCCAAAGUGAUGCGGGCCGUCAGUAG